rnacentral:rRNA from 1 species
GACGAACGCUGGCGGCGUGCCUAAUACAUGCAAGUAGAACGCUGAAGAGAGGAGCUUGCUCUUCUUGGAUGAGUUGCGAACGGGUGAGUAACGCGUAGGUAACCUGCCUUGUAGCGGGGGAUAACUAUUGGAAACGAUAGCUAAUACCGCAUAACAAUGGAUGACACAUGUCAUUUAUUUGAAAGGGGCAAUUGCUCCACUACAAGAUGGACCUGCGUUGUAUUAGCUAGUAGGUGAGGUAAUGGCUCACCUAGGCGACGAUACAUAGCCGACCUGAGAGGGUGAUCGGCCACACUGGGACUGAGACACGGCCCAGACUCCUACGGGAGGCAGCAGUAGGGAAUCUUCGGCAAUGGGGGCAACCCUGACCGAGCAACGCCGCGUGAGUGAAGAAGGUUUUCGGAUCGUAAAGCUCUGUUGUAAGUCAAGAACGGGUGUGAGAGUGGAAAGUUCACACUGUGACGGUAGCUUACCAGAAAGGGACGGCUAACUACGUGCCAGCAGCCGCGGUAAUACGUAGGUCCCGAGCGUUGUCCGGAUUUAUUGGGCGUAAAGUGAGCGCAGGCGGUUUGAUAAGUCUGAAGUUAAAGGCUGUGGCUCAACCAUAGUUCGCUUUGGAAACUGUCAAACUUGAGUGCAGAAGGGGAGAGUGGAAUUCCAUGUGUAGCGGUGAAAUGCGUAGAUAUAUGGAGGAACACCGGUGGCGAAAGCGGCUCUCUGGUCUGUAACUGACGCUGAGGCUCGAAAGCGUGGGGAGCGAACAGGAUUAGAUACCCUGGUAGUCCACGCCGUAAACGAUGAGUGCUAGGUGUUGGAUCCUUUCCGGGAUUCAGUGCCGCAGCUAACGCAUUAAGCACUCCGCCUGGGGAGUACGACCGCAGGGUUGAAACUCAAAGGAAUUGACGGGGGCCCGCACAAGCGGUGGAGCAUGUGGUUUAAUUCGAAGCAACGCGAAGAACCUUACCAGGUCUUGACAUCCCGAUGCUAUUUCUAGAGAUAGAAAGUUACUUCGGUACAUCGGUGACAGGUGGUGCAUGGUUGUCGUCAGCUCGUGUCGUGAGAUGUUGGGUUAAGUCCCGCAACGAGCGCAACCCUUAUUGUUAGUUGCCAUCAUUCAGUUGGGCACUCUAGCGAGACUGCCGGUAAUAAACCGGAGGAAGGUGGGGAUGACGUCAAAUCAUCAUGCCCCUUAUGACCUGGGCUACACACGUGCUACAAUGGUUGGUACAACGAGUUGCGAGUCGGUGACGGCGAGCUAAUCUCUUAAAGCCAAUCUCAGUUCGGAUUGUAGGCUGCAACUCGCCUACAUGAAGUCGGAAUCGCUAGUAAUCGCGGAUCAGCACGCCGCGGUGAAUACGUUCCCGGGCCGUGUACACACCGCCCGUCACACCACGAGAGUUUGUAACACCCGAAGUCGGUGAGGUAACCUUUUGGAGCCAGCCGCCUAAGGUGGGACAGAUGAUUGGGGUGAAGUCGUAACAAGGUAGCCGUAUCGGAAGG